UGAGCAACCCUCAUGACAGGAGCCGAAGCAGCAGAGCAGGCUGUCCCCAUUUCCCUUCCGCCUUCCCUUCUCAGUUGAUUUCCUGGGCCCCCUACACUCCACAGUCCCCGUCCUGCCAUGUCCGAGAAACAAGAAGAGAACCAUGUGGAGGAGACUGGCGAGGAGAAGCAGGACAUUCAGGAGAAAGAAAGUAUUCUCCCAGAGAGAGCUGAAGAGGCAAAGCUGAAGGCCAAAUAUCCAAGCCUAGGACAAAAGCCUGGAGGGUCUGACUUCCUCAUGAAGAGACUCCAAAAAGGGCAAAAAUACUUGGACUCAGGAGACUACAACAUGGCCAAAGCCAAGAUGAAGAAUAAGCAGCUGCCAAGUACAGGACCAGACAGGAACCUCGUGACUGGUGACCACAUCCAGACCCCACAGGAUCUGCCCCAGAGAAAGUCCUCACUCGUCACCAGCAAGCUUGCGGGGUAACCUGGGCCCCCUCGCCUCCCCUUCCUCACCCACUGGACUUUUGUGUAUCACAGGCAGGGAUGGAAAGGGCACCUAGUCAGACCUUCUCAGCUGGUUGGCCAGAAGUGGCAGCGGUUUUGCUGGGGGCUGCUGAGAGGGUAACGUGGGUUGAAGAGGGGCUCUGAAUUCGUGUGUUUGGUUAAAAUGAGACUUCCACUCCUUCACUGUAGUCCGGGUAGGGGCCCAGAAUAGGAAAGACCAGGACUGGAUAAUGCUGCAGACUCACUUUCUUGUGUGAGAAACUGAAGAGAUUGAUUUCUCCUUCAGGAAGAGAAUGUCCUAAAAUUGGUUGGGCUGAGCCUGGGGAAUAAUGUGGCAGGUUUAACAUCCCCAGGCUAACUUGGCACGGUGAGGAAAGGCAGACCAAAUGAGACGCAUUUUCUGUGCUAAGUGUUUUGUCUUUAGGCUGCUGUUGCUUCAAGUUUCCAUUAUGGCAGGUUUAGAGAAUCCUCAGAAAGAAAACCUGAGUUGCUUGACUAAAACUACAAUGCCCACUUAGCUUCCUUUCCUUAGUAUCUCUUACAGUUUGCCCUGGCUC